AAUCUUUGUCAGACGUAUUACAAUAAUAUUAGAUUUUAACCCGCGGUAUACCGCAGGACGAUUUUAAAAGUAAUAUAUAUUAAAUUU
rnacentral:sRNA from 1 species